rnacentral:pre_miRNA from 1 species
CCUAAGGUUUGACUUAAACAUUGUCCUAAACGACUUUGUUUAUGAAUACGGAGGGAGUAUUUUUGUUGUUAUGAGAUAAUAAAACAUGAAUAGUACUUUACUUGUGACUUAUGUUUUUAAUUUUUUUAAAAAAAAAGAUUAAAAUAAGACGGACGGUUAAAAUUGGGCAUGAAAAACGAUGGCUGCACUUAAA